AUUGAACGCUGGCGGCAUGCCUUACACAUGCAAGUCGAACGGCAGCAUGGGUGCUUGCACCUGGUGGCGAGUGGCGAACGGGUGAGUAAUGCAUCGGAACGUACCUUUCAGUGGGGGAUAACGUAGCGAAAGUUACGCUAAUACCGCAUAUUCUGUGAGCAGGAAAGCAGGGGAUCGCAAGACCUUGCGCUGAGUGAGCGGCCGAUGUCAGAUUAGCUAGUUGGUGAGGUAAAGGCUCACCAAGGCGACGAUCUGUAGCGGGUCUGAGAGGAUGAUCCGCCACACUGGGGCUGAGACACGGCCCAGACUCCUACGGGAGGCAGCAGUGGGGAAUUUUGGACAAUGGGGGCAACCCUGAUCCAGCCAUGCCGCGUGAGUGAAGAAGGCCUUCGGGUUGUAAAGCUCUUUCGGCCGGGAAGAAAUCGCACAGGCUAAUACCUUGUGUGGAUGACGGUACCGGAAUAAGAAGCACCGGCUAACUACGUGCCAGCCGCCGCCGUAA
rnacentral:rRNA from 1 species